UUUUUUUUUUUUUUUUUUUUUUCUCUUUGCAUCAGAAGCGGGGCUUGGGCUGUUGCCAUGGAAACCGCAGCUCGCUUGGAGAAGGGGAGGGGGCCACGAGGUGAAGGAGCAGAGAGAGCCAUGGAGGCUGGGAUUUUCCAGCCUCGGAACUGGCACUGGGUGUUGGCUUUGCAGUAAAGGAAUGCAUUAAAAUAGGGGUCUUUGUCCCCGGUGAAGUCAUUGCCCUUCCUUCCCCAGAGGGCAGGACUUGCUCAGAGGUUACACGCAUGCAUGGCACUCAGCCCAGGUCUGGACCCUGUGGGAGGCUCCCCUGCCUCUCCUCAUAUGCCACUGCUUGUGAAAGAGAUUCUUCUAGAAGACAGAGCCUCUGGGGUUCAUUUUGCCUGAGUCACAGUCUUUGGAAAAGGCAUGCCAUCACGGCCACCCUCCUCCUUAGCACCUGGGCUUCUGAAAAUCAGGUUUCUGUGCCGCUGAAAUUCGAGGCACCUGCAGUUUGGGGCGCAUUGUUUCGAUUAGCUUAUCUAACCCCUGCGAUCCUAACGGGGACCCCAGAAUGCCUCCUCGUAGAGGCAUUGUUCAUCCAUUCAGUCAACUGAUGUAUCAGUUAUCUUUGGCUGCAUAACAAAUGGGUCACUGACAGAGCAUUGCAACUGCACCGAUAAUCACUCACAGGCUUCAUCAAAGGGACCGCUAGCCAACCUCCACCCCCAGCUGCGGUCCACAUUCUUGAGCUGAAUGCCCAGUGGAGCCGGAGCCCGACACGCUUUGCCAUCAGCCAGCAGGAUGUACUGGUUUUCUUGAAAGCAACUCACACAGCUAAUGCCUUUGAAGCACCCAUUUCCAGGCUCCCACUCCUGUUCCUCCGACUGUUUAAGGCAGCGGCCGUGGUGGUGGAUACCCGUCAUGGAGCCUGGCACACAGUAAGUGCUCAGUUAAUGUCGGUUGAACCGAACUACCUGAUCUGCAUCCCACAUGUAGCUCUGAAGCAGCAAGAAGAAUUUCACCAGGUCACACUGCAGCCACGUGUGCCUGCACGUAGUCCUGUGCCCGGAGGCAUCGCCCGCCUUCUGUUCCAGGUGGGACGGUGCCAUCGCAAAGGAAGCCUUGCUGUCGGCUCGGAGGGGGGUGGUCCACACGCCAGCCGCCGGUGUCCCUGAGAUUUGGUGGCCACCGUUGCCCGUGGGGUACAGGGCAGAGUCCCUUACCCUGUGGCCCUAGGCCAUGACGGGUUGUUUUUCCAAGAGCUCAGUGGCCCAGUUUUCCUCUGAGAGCCUGGAGGUGGGAGGGAGGGAGGCCACCGGGAAGGCAGAAGAGAAGGGGGAAAGAUGGAAGAAGCUUUAGGACUUGGCGGCUGUGUUUGGAGGGUGUGGGGGGAGGAGGCGGCAGCGUGCCCCGCCCCAGGUUUCAUGCCUGCGGGGCUGGAUGAAAGCGGGCACCUUCUGCUGGGAGGUCCCGUGGGUCGAAGUAACUGGAGACGCCUGUCUCAGCUUGGGUCUCCUCAAAGCAGAGCUGGCAACGCCGUCGUGGUGCAGGUGGUUUAUUUAGGCGGCGGUGCCGGGCGGGGAGUAGGGCACAGAGGUGAGGAGGGCAGGCCAGGGAGCACGGCUGGGCUGCUCGCGGAGCCGGUUGCCUGGCGCCCACCCCGAAGGGGAGCCCUCGGAAACCUCGGGAAAUGUGCAAGCCCCGCUUCUUCUCACCCCGAGGGAGCAAGACCCCAGGUCAGUUAAACAUCAGCUCCUGUGACCACGGCUGGGUGGCCUCCUGGUCACCGGGACCCCUUUCCUGCCAUUUUCUACCCGUUUCUACCCGGCCACUUCGCAGUUCCCAAGCUGCGCACACGAGCUUCUGUCGACGUAACAAAAAUGCACAACGUGAGAGUUUUAAGUUUUAUUUGGGGGAAAAUGAGGACUACGGCCCUGAAGGCAGCCCUGCAGAGAGCUCUGGAAACACUCGGAAGAAGUCGGGGUCGGGGGGGCAUACGUGUGAUUUUACUGAAACGGGAGGGUCGCGCAUCCGGGCACACGUUCUGCUGAAGGUGCCGCUCCUCCCGUGAAGUUUACUGCCGGUCACAAGAGGCAGAAGCGCCAGGAAGGAUUUCAGUGCUUUUGGAGAUGCGAGGAGGUGCGAGAAUUGGGCCCAUAAAACCUCCCGAAACCUUCUCCCCUCCGAAGACCUCCUCUGCCAGUCUCCCACAGCUCCAACAGCCUCGCUCCUGGUCUCCGCCGAGCUCCGUUCAGGGGCACUAAGGGCCGGCAGCGGCAGUGGCUCAGGAUUCAGUCCGAGGAGAGGCGGGGGCAGGUGCCAAGCUCCAGCUCACGCGCAUGCCUCGGAGCCUUCGUGGGAGCCGUUCUCUUGCCUGGAAUGCUCUUCCGCUCUCAUGUUCCUUUUUCCCUCCUUUUCUCCUUCCUUCCUCCCUCCCUUCCUCCCCUUCUUCCAUCCUUUCCCUCCUUCCUGUUCCAACAUCACCACCCCAGGAGCAACUUGAUAGCCCACUCCCCAGAAAAGGACCAACACCAUGCGAUUUCCGUCCUGUGCAGAAUCUAAAAAAAUGAACAAACAAACAAAACAAAAACCCAUAGAUACAGAGACCAGAGUGGUGGUUACCUGAGGGGAAGGGGGAGGUCAAAUGGGUGACGGGGACCCACCCACCACCUGGCAAGGGACAGACGCUAAAUUUUUGACAGCGAGCCUGGUGCAGGGUAUACGGAAAUGGAGUGGGGAGGUCCCGUCUUGCCUCAGCGGGUUAAAAACCCAGCCAGUAUCCAUGAGGACGAGGGUUGGAUCCCUGGCCUCGCUCAGUAGGUUAAGGAUCCGGUGUUGCCGUGAGCUGUGGGGUGGGUCGCAGACGCGGCUUGGAUCCUGCAUGGCUGUGGCUCUGGUGUCGGCCAACGGCUGUAGCUCCGAUUGGACCCGUAGCCUGGGAACCUCCAUAUGCCAUGGCCGCAGCCCGAAAAAGGCAAAAACUAGAAAGAGAAUGUGGUAGACAUGAAUGUAUAUGUUCUAAGCAAACGCCACCUCAAUUUUGAAAAGUGAAAUGAAGAAUGAAGCCGCUCCCUCCCUGUUGAGAGGCGUCCCCUGAGCUGUCCUCGCAGCUGGCGUCACAACCAGCCCCUCGUUUGGUUCGGGGGUCGGGAAGCCCCUGGAGCGGGAGGCUGUCUUUCGCACCCCCUGCUCUGUCACUCACGCCCACACCGUGCCCAGGCCUUGUGAAGCGCCUUCUCAGUGUUUGAAUGAAGACGCAGGACUCGGAUGGCCUCCAGGUGCCUCUUGGGCAAAAUCUGUGGCCCUUGCCCACCGCGUCCUGCUCCUGUGGGAACUGCUGCUGUGGGAACUGGUGCCCAGUAGGGCUCCUCCUGCAUGUGCUGGGUGAGUGGACGGUGGGGACAGGUGACCAGCACUGGCGCUUCCGUAUGGUUUCCAGCACCACCUGCAGAGACUCAAGCAGCUAAUAACGACCUCCUUCCAGCCAAAGAGCCUUCAUCUUCAGAGAUGUUUUUUAAGCUGUGUUCACAUAACACAAUGGACAGUGAAAUUUGCUCCUCCUGGUAUAGAUUUCUAGAGUUUUGGCAAAUGCAUUCUGGGCUGUGACCACCUUCAGAAAAUCCCUCCUGCAUCUCCUGGGACAAACAGCACCAGACCCCCUGGAGGUGCCCUGCUCAGACCUGACCUCAGAGGGACCCUCCCUCACCCCCAACUGGAGGCAGCCCCCACCCCACCACCACACUCUUCCCGCCCCCAUCUCCCACCCGACUUCUCCCCUGCCCGCCCCCCGCCCGACAGGAGAGCAUGGCCUUUGCCCUGUUCUCUCCACUGUUUGUGCCCCUAGGGAUACUCUCAAUACUUGCUGAAGGAGCAGGUGAAUUUGGGGGAGUAAUGGAGUGAAAGAAUCUUCUGAUUGCCUAAGGCCCAGAGGAGUCCGCUGGGUAUCUUUUUUUUUUUUUUUUUUUUUUUUUUUUUUUAAUCUUAUUGGCGUGUAGUUGAUUUACAGUGUUGUGUGAGUUUCAGGUGUGCAGCAAAGUGAAUCGUUUUACAUACACACAUAUCCAUUCUUUUUUCCCAUACAGGUUAUUACGGAACAUUGAGUAGACUCCCCAUGCUAUCUGGCACCCAUUUUUACUUCCCUUUGUAGUCCCUUUGCCUAGGACAGUGCCUGGCACACAAGGGGACUCAGGUGGCGUUUGUUGAUUGACUCAGUGAGUGAGUGAUGAGGACAGGGCUUGCCGUAGGUAAGCGGUUCUUUAAAAAGGUCCGCAGAGCCCGCGUGGCUGUGCCACACCACCUCCCCGCCCCAAGUCCUGCCGCACUCUUUUCCAUUUUAAUGCGCAUAAAAGACUUAAUUGAACCACUGCUGUCCAGCCAGCAGCCUGGAGAGUUUAUGAUAAUUCUCCCGUCCUCGGGGGACCCUGGCUGGGAGUCCGAGCAGCGAGCCUACGCUCCUGGAACAUGAUUGGCUGAGCCUGUUGCCGUGGAAACUGCAGCUGGACCUGGGGGAGGGGGGCUGAGGCGAUGUCCUGAGAGGCCCGGAAACUGGAAUUUUCCAUGAUGUGGGUAAAGGCUCUGUGUGACUCAGUAGAGUCUGGCACACAGUAGGACUCCAUGUGUGUAAGUGAAGGAGUAACCGUGUCUUGGGGAUCACCUAUGGGUGGGGGGUGUCACCUCCCUCGUUUCCACUUGUACGUGGAAAACCUUCUUACUGUGGGGGUGGCAAGCUACCCGGUAGGCUUUUGAAUUCAUCCGUUCGCCCGCCGACCCCGCCAUCCCUCACCCACCUGCACCUGCAUCGAUUCUGUUCUUCUUUUUCUGUAUCUUACGGUGCCUUCACAUCGCAGGGCGGGGCUGGGGGACUGGGGUGCUCACGGACCUCGGGGGUUGGGGGGAGACUGCCCUCCAUGGGCUGUCGAAGUCCUAAAAUAAUAACGCCUCACCUAUAGGCACCUUUCCGACGCCUUCUGUGUACAGCCCCAGCCACCUUUUGGCCUGACCCUCACACCAAGCCCUGAUUCCCAUGCCUAAGCCGCCCCAGGGCCGGGCACCAGGCACUGGGGACCCCCCUCUGUAGCCCAGAGCCUGAGGGGUCAUUCAAACCCGCCAACCCUGAACUUGCCUUUCUCUGUGGAGAGUCCACUGAAGGGUCUGGCUGCAUGUCCCCCUCCCUCCUGCCUCCGGCUCCAGACACCUGGCGCCUCCCUGGUGGCCCCGCACGGCUAUCCCCUUCUUUCGGGGAAAGACAUGAUUAAAAAAACCUGCCGUGGCAGGAGCAGACCCUAACCUCCAUGAGAACGAACAUGACAGGGGAGGGAGAAGAAUCUUGCCUCUUCACUCUGAGUUCUUGGCUGAGACCCCCCUGUGUUAAAAGACAGACCAACACGGGAAAAACAAGUUAUUAACACGAAUACCUCACGUGUACAAGGGAGACACCCCGGGGAAACGAGCACCCCCCUUGAGGUGGCCAAGAAUCGGGGGCUUAAAAACCAUCUCGGGGUGUUCCUGCUGUGGCGCAGUGGGUUCAUGUCCAGCUGGCCUCUACUGGUUUGGUCCUCGGCCGGGUACAGUGGGUGAAGCUGCAGCUGUGGUGUGGGUUGCUGCAGCAGUGGUGUUGUACAGCUGUGGUGUGGGUUGAAGCUGCCGCUCAGAUUCAGUCCCUGGCCCAGGAACUUUCACAUGCCACACGUGCGGCCAAAAGAAAAAAGCAUCUUUGCACGGGUUGUGGGGCUGGAGGAAAUGAGUGAUUUUCAGGGAAGAUGGAUGGGCCCUUGGAAGACCAGACAGGUUUCAAGGAAGUUGGCCUGAUGUCUCCUUCGAGGCCCAUCUUUGCAAUGGCCUUUCCCCUUGAUGAAACUCCCAGGGGAGGACUAGUGACGCUGGCUCCCCUUUGCAGGGUCUGUGUGCAGGGGGACACCAGAGUCCAGAGAGAGGCUGUCAAGGGCCUGCCGCUAGGUGACCAGGACACCAGAGUCACGUCCUUGGGUGUGGCCCAUCUGAAUCCCAUGGCCAUGUUUUGGGGUGGCCUACCCUGUCCCCCAGCAUCACGUCAGGCUUCCUUCUCACGCUUGGCAUUCUGGGGCCUGGUGCGUCGACUUCCCGGAGCAGACGCCCAGUCUCUGUGGCUGGAAACAUGGCGGCGAGAAGCCUAAAUGUUUACGUCGCUGGUCACAGCUGAGGUCAAAACAUGGGGCUUUCCAGACCUUGUGCGGCUCAGAGCCACCUUCCUGCACAGAGGGUCAAAGGACAAGCAGCAAGAUGAGGGGCACCAGUGACUGGGUGGGUGCACUGCAGGCUGCGAGCCCCCCAAGCCCCCCCCAUCCCUCACCCAGGCCAGCUGCACAAGAGUCACAGCAGCCCCGCUUCCUCCCGGGCUCUUUGCUGCCUUAGCAACCCAGGCAAACUCCAUCUAUUGCCAUGGAAACUGCUGCUGAGCGGAGGAAGUGGAGGGAGCUGAAAAUCAGCAGAGAGACUCUCAGAGAACAGAACAUUCUGGAAUCCUGGGUCAGAUCCAGGGUACGUUUAGAAUCCCAGCCCGGAAUCCUCUGGCCUCACAUUCCUUACUCGUGAAAAAAUAAAGACGCAUCCUUCUCUUGAGCACCACUGAUGGGUACAUGAGGUGGUGCAGCUGCUAUGGGAAACAGGCUGCAGGUGCCUCAAAAAAUUAAAGGUGGAAUGACCAUGUGACCCAGCAGGUCCACCUCUGGGUAGAAGGACCCCCAAGAAGUGAAAGCCGGGGUGCAAGGAGUCGGUUAUGCAGCACGUUCACAGCAGCACGGACCACAGUAGCCAAACGUGUCGGAACCCAAGUGUCCAUCAGUGGCUGGGUGGACACACAAACGGUGGUCCAUACACACAGUGGAAUAGCAUUCGGCUCAAGAAGGAGGGAGACACACACGGCCACCGAGAUGCGCCUUGAGGGCAUCGCGCGCGUGAAAUGAGCCAGCCCCGGCCCCCAAAGGACAGAUACUGCCCGAUUCCACUUCCAUGAGGAGGCUGCGGUCCUCGGAUUCACAGACGGGAGGUCGAACGGUGGGGGCCGGGGGCUGGGCCGCUAUUGUCUCAGGGGCCGCGGUUUCUGUUGGGGCCGGUGGAAGAGCUCUGUGGCUGGAGGCUGGUGACGGCUGCACAACAGCGUGAACAGACUUGCUGCCACCGAACUGCACGCUUAAAAUGCUUACCACCAUGCUAUGUGCAUUUGCCAUAACUUAAGAAAACGAAUAUAAAAAUGUGAGUUCUGGAG
rnacentral:lncRNA from 1 species